UACGUAGGGUGCGAGCGUUAAUCGGAAUUACUGGGCGUAAAGCGUGCGCAGGCGGCGCGUUAAGACAGGUGUGAAAGCCCCGAGCUUAACUUGGGAAUUGCGCUUGUGACUGGCGUGCUGGAGUGUGGCAGAGGGAGGUGGAAUUCCACGUGUAGCAGUGAAAUGCGUAGAGAUGUGGAGGAACACCGAUGGCGAAGGCAGCCUCCUGGGCCAGCACUGACACUGAUGAGCGAAAGCCAGGGGAGCAAACGGG
rnacentral:rRNA from 1 species